GGAGAUUUAGCUCAGUGGUAGAGCGCUUGCCCAGCAAGUGCAAGGCCCUGGGUUCGGUCCCCAGCUCCG
rnacentral:tRNA from 1 species